rnacentral:rRNA from 1 species
GGCAGCCGCGGUAAUUCCAGCUCCAAUAGCGUAUAUUAAAGUUGCUGCAGUUAAAAAGCUCGUAGUUGAAUUUCGGGACCAAUAUGUCGGUCGUGCCUCGGUACGUACUGGCAUCGUUGGUUUCUCCCUUCUGAAGAACCAUGAUGUCAUUCAUUUGGUGUCGUGGGGAAUCAGGACUGUUACUUUGAAAAAUUAGAGUGUUUAAAGCAGGCUCACGCUUGAAUACAUUAGCAUGGAAUAACGAAAUAGGACGUUUGAUUCUAUUUUGUUGGUUUCUAGGAUCGACGUAAUGAUUAAUAGGGAUAGUUGGGGCAUUAGUAUUCAAUUGUCAGAGGUGAAAUUCUUGGAUUUAUUGAAGACUAACUACUGCGAAAGCAUUUGCCAAGGAU